UCCCCUGUGGCUCAGUUGGUAGAGCAUGGUGUUUGCAACGCCAGGGUUGUGGGUUCGAUUCCCACGGGGGGAC
rnacentral:tRNA from 1 species